AACGAACGCUGGCGGCAGGCUUAACACAUGCAAGUCGAACGCCCCGCCAGGGGAGUGGCAGACGGGUGAGUAACGCGUGGGAACAUACCCUUUUCUACGGAAUAGCCCUGGGAAACUGGUAUUAAUACCGUAUACGCCCUACGGGGGAAAGAUUUAUCGGGGAAGGAUUGGCCCGCGUUGGAUUAGCUAGUUGGUGGGGUAAAGGCCUACCAAGGCGACGAUCCAUAGCUGGUCUGAGAGGAUGAUCAGCCACAUUGGGACUGAGACACGGCCCAAACUCCUACGGGAGGCAGCAGUGGGGAAUAUUGGACAAUGGGCGCAAGCCUGAUCCAGCCAUGCCGCGUGAGUGAUGAAGGCCUUAGGGUUGUAAAGCUCUUUCACCGAUGAAGAUAAUGACGGUAGUCGGAGAAGAAGCCCCGGCUAACUUCGUG
rnacentral:rRNA from 1 species